UACAUGGGGUGCAAACGUUGCUCGGAAUUAUUGGGCGUAAAGCGCACGUAGGCGGUUCGUUAAGUCGGAUGUGAAAGCCCUCGGCUCAACUGAGGAAGUGCACCCGAAACUGGCGAGCUUGAGUACGAAAGAGGAUCGCGGAAUUCCGGGUGUAGCGGUGGAAUGCAUAGAGAUCCGGAAGAACACCGGAGGCGAAGGCGGCUUGCUGGGCGUAGUCUGACGCUGAGGCGCGAAAGCGUGGGGAGCGAACAGG
rnacentral:rRNA from 1 species